rnacentral:lncRNA from 1 species
CCCCCGCCGCACCUUCACCCUUUCUGAAAAGGUCAAUCGUAUCUCGUUGUUCAGUGAUCCGGGAGGUGGAAGGCUAUUGGUUCAGGGAGCCCGUCAGACCGGACUGGAGUGAGCCAUGAUUGGUCGACACAGGCGCAAUCAGAGUCAAGAAAACUUUGCUUUUGACUUAUUUACAGCUAGUCACAAUUGAGUGAAGUAUACUCCUGUAAACAAAUUUGGAUUUCUCUCUCUCAAUCUGAUUUCUCCAGAAUGUGGAAACUAUUUAAACAGACUGCAGAUUGAAUUCCUACAUAGGCUAUUCCAGAAUUCUUACGAGACUUGCAUUAGGACAUCAGCAACAGGUAUCAUCUAGUGAACUGUUCAGAUGCAACUGAAUUGAAAAGGAGCUGAACAAAAGAUCCUGAGAGAGACUUCAACAAAAAGUAAAAUGGAUUUUAUCAUACUUGAAAAAUCAACAAUUGCAGUCUGGAUUCAUACAUCACUGUCUGAUGCACCCAACUUGAGUCAAAAAGAUGUUUCAAAUCCCACUAGGCUGGAGGCAAAAAUACUCAAGAGUUUAAGAGCGUCUCUUGACAGUGUACAGAAUAAGAUAGCUUCUCAGCUUUCAGCUUUACUUCACGGUUUUAACUAUCAAAAGAAGCAAGCCAUCUGAAGAUUUGCCUGAGACUGAAGGAUCCACUUCUGCGACGACUCCCUCAGGACUUAUAAUGCAGAUGGAACCAGAUUGAGAAAAACCAGCCAACCAACCAACCAACAUGAUGGCUGAACCAGACAAGAGAAGUCCCGAAGUAAAAUACCCACCAAUUACCAGAAUCUGUGCCUGCCAUACAUCGAAGAAAAUUCAACAGCAAUACAAAUUAACCUUUGGAAAAUCUUUCCUGGGUUUUAUGUUUGUGUGAAAUGCCCCUUUACUAAACUGGAAGAUGUGUAAGAUGGAAGAAGAGGUUCUGCUGGAUAUGGAGAAAUUGGAACCCUUGUACAUGUGGAAAUGUAAAAUGGUGCAUUAGGAAAACAGUUUCAACGGUCCUCAAAGUGGUAAACAUAGAGUUACCAUAUGACUGAGAAAUUUUAC